CUUGUGCAGCCAGAAUUUUGUUCAUAAAGCCUUUGCCUCUACCAAUGUUUUCAAGAGUUCUACCUAUUUUAUCUUCCAGGAUAUUGGAUUCAUAAUAUCCCAUAGUUAUUGCAGGCUGAGCAGGUCUGCAAUCUCCUGAACAAGUGUACAGCAAAGACUAAAUAAAAAGAGGCAAAUGGAAUGAUUUCAGGGCUCCAGGAGGAUCAAAGCCCUCUCACAGAAUUCAAGAUUCUCUUGGGGCUAAGACCAAGACGUUCUCUGGGUGGCCUGUAUUUAUUUGGUUAUCAGAAGAAGGGAGACAGGGUCUCACUAUGAGACCAAGGCCAGCCUCAAACUCCUGGUGAUCCUGCCUCAGCCUCCCAGUGCCUGCCCAGCU
rnacentral:lncRNA from 1 species